rnacentral:rRNA from 1 species
CCUACGGGAGGCAGCAGUGAGGAAUCUUGGUCAAUGGGCGGAAGCCUGAACCAGCCACGUAGCGUGCAGGAUGACGGCCCUACGGUUUGUAAACUGCUUUUAUACGGGAAUAACGCGCCUUACGUGUAGGGCUUUUCAUGUACCGUAUGAAUAUGGACAGGCUCAUUCCGUGCCAGCAGCCGCGGUAAUACGGAAGGUCCGGGCGUUAUCCGGAUUUAUUGGGUUUAAGGGGAGCGUAGGCCGCAUGUCAAGCGUGCUGUGAAAUGUCCGGGCUCAACCCGGGCCUUGCAGCGCGAACUGGCGAGCUUGAGUCCACAGAAGGCGAGCGGAAUUCGACGUGUAGCGGUGAAAUGCUUAGAUAUGACGAAGAACCCCGGUUGCGAAGGCAGCUUGCUGCAGCGGAACUGACGCUGAUGCUCGAAAGCGCGGGUAUCGAACAGGAUUAGAUACCCGUGUAGUC